rnacentral:misc_RNA from 1 species
GUGUGUGUGUGUGUGUGUAAAAUUUAGACAAUUUAGGCUAUAGCGCCUCGCUUUAAAAAAGUCCUCGCCUCGCCUCUCGCCUAAGGUUAUAGGGUACCCUGUCGCCUAACAGCCUCUCGCUCUAAUAACAUUGCUCACAUGUUGAAAAUAGGUAUGCAAAUGGAAACAACUCAUAAGCAUCCUAUAUGCCAAUACGAGUAACAUGAUAGAAAAAGGUUAAAAAAUUCAACUACAUGUGUUGCAAAUUGGAAACUAACAAUAAAAACAACCCAAACAUAAAUAAAAUCACAUAUUAUAAAACAGCCCUCCUUGAGGUAAUUUUAUCUGAUCUAAAACAAUCUUUGGCAAAGUAACUUACCUGAUUUGGUUGAGGGCAAUCAAC